rnacentral:rRNA from 1 species
CAGAGGGGGCAAGCGUUGUUCGGAAUUACUGGGCGUAAAGGGCGCGUAGGCGGCCGCCUAAGUCAGACGUGAAAUCCCUCGGCUCAACCGGGGAACUGCGUCUGAUACUGGGUGGCUUGAAUCCGGGAGAGGGAUGCGGAAUUCCAGGUGUAGCGGUGAAAUGCGUAGAUAUCUGGAGGAACACCGGUGGCGAAGGCGGCAUCCUGGACCGGCAUUGACGCUGAGGCGCGAAAGCCAGGGGAGCAAACGGGAUUAGAUACCCCGGUAGUCCUGGCCCUAAACGAUGAGUGCUUGGUGUGGCGGGUAUCGAUCCCUGCCGUGCCGAAGCUAACGCAUUAAGCACUCCGCCUGGGGAGUACGGUCGCAAGGCUG